GAUGAACGCUGGCGACAUGCUUUACACAUGCAAGUCGAACGGUAACAGGUUAAGCUGACGAGUGGCGAACGGGUGAGUAAUGCAUCGGAACGUGCCCGAUCGUGGGGGAUAACGCAGCGAAAGCUGCGCUAAUACCGCAUACGAUCUGAGGAUGAAAGCGGGGGACCGUAAGGCCUCGCGCGAUCGGAGCGGCCGAUGUCAGAUUAGGUAGUUGGUGGGGUAAAGGCUCACCAAGCCAACGAUCUGUAGCUGGUCUGAGAGGACGACCAGCCACACUGGGACUGGGACACGGCCCAAACUCCUACGGGAGGCAGCAGUGGGGAAUUUUGGACAAUGGGCGAAAGCCUGAUCCAGCAAUGCCGCGUGCAGGAAGAAGGCCUUCGGGUUGUAAACUGCUUUUGUACGGAGCGAAAAGGCCCUCUCUAAUACAGUGGGCUCAUGACGGUACCGUAAGAAUAAGCACCGGCUAACUACGUGCCAGCCGCCGCCGUAA
rnacentral:rRNA from 1 species